rnacentral:rRNA from 1 species
CUGGUUGAUCCUGCCAGAGGUUACUGCUAUCGAGGUUCGACUAMGCCAUGCGAGUCGAAUGUAGCAAUACAUGGCGUACUGCUCAGUAACACGUGGACAACCYUAACCUUAGGUCUGGUAUAACCCCGGGAAACUGGGAAUAAUACCGGAUAUUGUGCGAAUGCUGGAAUGCCUCGCACAAGAAAGCCCCGGCGCCUGAGGAUGGGUCUGCGGCCUAUCAGGUAGUAGUGGGUGUAGCGUACCUACUAGCCUACGACGGGUACGGGUUGUGAGAGCAAGAGCCCGGAGAUGGAUUCUGAGACACGAAUCCAGGCCCUACGGGGUGCAGCAGGCGCGAAAACUUUACAAUGCCGGCAACGGCGAUAAGGGGACCUCGAGUGCCAGGUUACAAAUCUGGCUGUCGUGAUGCCUAAAAAGCAUUGCAUAGCAAGGGCCGGGCAAGACCGGUGCCAGCCGCCGCGGUAACACCGGCGGCUCGAGUGGUAACCGUUAUUAUUGGGUCUAAAGGGUCUGUAGCCGGCCGGAUAAGUUUCUUGGGAAAUCUGGCAGCUCAACUGUCAGGCUUUCAGGAGAUACUGUYUGGCUMGAGGCCGGGAGAGGUGAGAGGUACUCCAGGGGUAGGGGUGAAAUCUUGUAAUCCYUGAAGGACCACCAGUGGCGAAGGCGUCUCACCAGAACGGACCUGACGGCAAGGGACGAAAGCURGGGGCACGAACCGGAUUAGAUACCCGGGUAGUCCYAGCCGUAAACGAUACUGGCUAGGUGUCGGCCACGGCGCGACCCUUUUCAGUGCCGCAGGGAAGCCGUUAAGCGAGCCGCCUGGGAAGUACGGCCGCAAGGUUGAAACUUAAAGGAAUUGGCGGGGGAGCAC